CGCUGCCUGCCGUGCUCCCCUCGCGACGGAAUGCGCGCCUCCGCCGCCGCCACCGUGCAGCGUGCGGGUUCUUCGCCGUUGUUGCUUCUGCUGCCGAUGCCAGCAGCCACGGGCGCGCUGCUGCGGCCGUAGCGGCGAUGGAGGGGAGAGGACCGAUACAAUUAGGAGAGCGGCUCAUUUGCGCGCGCGAUCAAUGCGAGACGCGCAACACGAGACCUAAAUCACGCUCGCCGCCGCUCCUUGGAUCGUAGCAGACGAAAAAUGUGCAACCGCAUGGGGGGCUGACACCAUGAGUGCAUCGUACUAGGCCGGUGCGUCGUAAUGGAGCUCUGGGAUCGGAAAGCGAGGAAGGGCCGGCCAUGACCUGAGGAGUAGCAGAGGCGCGUAGCACUUCCUCACCUCGCCGUGUGCCGUUCGGAUGCGCGGUAUGCGUUUCCUGAACUUGGGAGCCCGGAGACCUCGCUGCCUUGGGGGCGAAACAGCGCGGUCGCUGACGCGUCGCGAUGAACGGCUGGGCGACGAAGCGGCGGCCACGUGACAGCGCAGAGCAAGUGGCAGCUGGCCGGGAAAGUCAUCGACAGCCGCGAACAAUGGCUCUUUUCGGGUGCGCAGCCGCCGUUCAUGCAGUUUCCUGUCCUCGGAAAUAGGGCGUUGCGUGCCUGGCAUGUAAGGAAGCACCUUGCUGACCUGUUCGGAACGACAACUGCCUUGGACACCAAGAUCACCAAGAAGGCAGUCACUUAGUAGCUUGCCGAGUUUGCAACGACUGGUGGUGACCAACCUGUUUUAUCACCACCAGGUGACAAAAUCAGCUGACAACAUCAGGUUAUGUAAUUCAUGCUGAUUCACACCUGGAUUACAUGAGAAAGAAGAAGACGGCGUGAAGACGUGGCUCACAGCAAAGGAAUUCCCACAAACAACAAGCACUCUGCGUCCGGCAUUCGCGCUGCUUAUUUCAUUUUUUUUUUCGUAUGCCGUCUACCGACCAGCCACCAUGAGCAUAAUCUUGUAUGACGCACCGUGAAUUCCAUCGACACAUGAAUUCGUAUGUAAUUUUAUACUUUGCAUUCUAGCGUUCACGCGACGUAGCCGCUCAGUAGUAUAGCGACCUUGUAAUUAAAAGCUUGACAUCACUUGGAUGCAGCAAUCCCCGCACAUGUGUUCUUCUUUGCAA